CUGGCUCAGGAUGAACGCUAGCGGCAGGCUUAACACAUGCAAGUCGAGGGGCAACGCGAGUAGCAAUACUUGGCGGCGACCGGCGCAAGGGUGCGUAACGCGUGAGCAACAUGCCCGUAUCAGGGGGAUAAUCCAGGGAAACUUGGUCUAAUACCCCAUAGUAAUUUUGUAAGGCAUCUUAUAAGAUUUAAAGCUUUGGUGGAUACGGAUUGGCUCGCGUGACAUUAGCUGGAUGGUAAGGUAACGGCUUACCAUGGCUAUGAUGUCUAGGGGUUCUGAGAGGAAGGUCCCCCACACUGGAACUGAGACACGGUCCAGACUCCUACGGGAGGCAGCAGUGAGGAAUAUUGGACAAUGGAUGGAAAUCUGAUCCAGCCAUGCCGCGUAGAAGGAAGAAGGUCCUAUGGAUUGUAAACUUCUUUUGUAUGGGAGCAAUAAGGCCUACGAGUAGGUUGAUGAGAGUACCAUACGAAUAAGCACCGGCUAACUCCGUGCCAGCCGCAGC
rnacentral:rRNA from 1 species